GGGGCCGUUUUGGAUUUGACAGGGUGGCGCUGAGUAUGUUAGCAUGCAGUGCGUUGUACGGAGAGCACUUAAAAGAGAACGUUCACACUAUAUCUGGCGAAAAUACUUACGCCUUAGCAAAGGCAAGGUCGGUUACCAGCCCGCCCAAUCCCGACAAUUAAUUGGAAAAUAAGCAUGUAGAAGGCAUAAUUUAUCACACAACUGGACAAGGGUUCGAACCCCUUCGGCUCCACUU
rnacentral:tmRNA from 1 species